UAAAUAAGGGAGCUUGGUCUUACGAAUCGAUAUAUGAAAAUAUACGAAAACAUUAGCUUAGAGCUUUUGGCUUGCAAACACUCUUAACUCACGUUGAUUUUCAGCCCACACACAACUCACACACACUAACACCUAAAACACACACACCAUUCACGCAUAUACCAUUUUUAGCUUGAGCUCAAGCUUUUGAGCUCCGAUUUGAGCACCGAGACGAGCGCCGAUCAUCUUUUCGAUCACGUAUCUAAGUAGGUCCUUUUGGGAAGUAACGACUUGAGGGAGAGAGUGACGUUACUCAUUGAUACAGAGACACAACGAGGUUGAGCUGAUGUGAUGAUGGUGCUGCAAUGAGCGGAGUCUCCAGGGUUGUUAAUAAAUAGUUAACCUGUCUAGAAUAUGUCUUCAUACAUAUGUCUAGCUACUUUCCGCUGCAAGAUGUUGUUGAUGUUAUAGUAUGUUAUGUCAUACUUUGAGUCUUAAGAGAAUGGUUUCAUAUGAUGUAUAACUUGAUUAAUGAUAUUAAUUAAGUUUUAUGUUGUCUUUCAUAGACUGUUCAAAAGAGUAUUAAUGAGUAAAUACGAUGAUUUUUCUUAAGUUAAGUAAGAUUUACGGUUUCAAAUGAUGCCCCUUUCUUUCCCUUAUUCUUUAACCCCAUCCCUAGUCGUAGAUCACUCGGCUUAACUAUCCUUAGUUAAGGCGGGCUGUGACAGAGUGGUAUCAGAGCGAAGGAAAGCUCUGAAUUAGAAGUCUUGAGUUUAGUCUAGAAUGAGUCACUAGACUAAUAGUUAUUAACAACCGUGAGCUCAGCGCACCAUCACACCAGGCUCAACGAGGUAUGUAAAAUUUCAAAGUUUAUUUGACGUUAAAUUUUGAAGAGCAUGAUGUUGAGGUUAUAUGAUGAGUUAUGA